rnacentral:rRNA from 1 species
GUGGGGAAUAUUGGACAAUGGGCGAAAGCCUGAUCCAGCCAUGCAGCGUGUGUGAAGAAGGUCUUCGGAUUGUAAAGCACUUUAAGUUGGGAGGAAGGGUAGUAACCUAAUACGUUGCUACUUUGACGUUACCGACAGAAUAAGCACCGGCUAACUUCGUGCCAGCAGCCGCGGUAAUACGAAGGGUGCAAGCGUUAAUCGGAAUUACUGGGCGUAAAGCGCGCGUAGGUGGUUCAGUAAGUUGGAAGUGAAAUCCCCGGGCUCAACCUGGGAACUGCUUUCAAAACUGCUGAGCUAGAGUACGGUAGAGGGUGGUGGAAUUUCCUGUGUAGCGGUGAAAUGCGUAGAUAUAGGAAGGAACACCAGUGGCGAAGGCGACCACCUGGACUGAUACUGACACUGAGGUGCGAAAGCAUGGGGAGCAAACAGGAUUAGAUACCCUUGUAGUCC